GCAGCACUGGUGUAAUGGUUAGCGCUUUAGGUUUCCAUUCUAACUGUAGGGGUUCGAUUCCCCUGUGCUGCU
rnacentral:tRNA from 1 species